AGAGCCGUGCCUGAAUCUAAGGGCCACCUUGAUAGGGUGGAUUAUGUAGGUUAAAACCCUGCCGUCUCUU
rnacentral:tRNA from 1 species